rnacentral:lncRNA from 1 species
GAGAUAUUCAAGCAACCAGUGCACUUAAUGCGUGGAACCAUUCCCAUUUUUUGUGCUGAAACUAUAACAUGAAUAGCCUAGCAGAUUCGCUAUACAACGUGUAUAGUUCAAUGAAAACUGCAAAGGACUUGUGGGAGUCUUUGGACUGAAAUAUAAAACUGAGGAUGUCGAGAUUAAAAAGUUCAUUGUUGGUAAAUUCUUAUAUUAUAAAAUGGAGGACUUAAAAAUUAUAAUUAGUCAAGUGCAAGAACUUCAUGAGAUUCAUGCCGAGAGGAUAAUCUUGAAUGAAACUUUCCAAGUGGCUACAAUUAUUGAAAAGCUACCUCCAGCAUGGAAAGAUUUCAAGAAUUAUCUUAAACAUAAAAGAAAGAAAAUGAACAUUGAAGAAUUAAUUGUUAGACUUCGACGUGAAGAAGGAUAACAAGAGUUCAAAAAAGAAGUGGUUCAAUCCCGGUGUUGCUAAAACCAAUUUUGUGGAGCAUGGUCGAAGUUAUAAGACCAACAAAAAAUCUUGGGCCAUCUAGUGGCAAAGGGACCAAUCAAGGACCGAAAGGUGAAAUUUCUAAAAAGAAGUUUCAAGGAAAAUGCUUCAACUGUGACAAAAUGGAUCAUAAGUCUUCGGAGUACAGAUUUCCAAAGAAGAAGAAAGAAACAAAUGUGUUGAUUACAUAGCGCAUGAUGUGUUGGAGAUAAAUCUCGUAGCCAUUAUUUUUGCAGUAAAUAUGGUGGGUUCAAACUCGAAAGAGUGGUGUAAUAACACCGGAGUUAUGAGACAUAUGUGCUUUGAUAAAGAGUUGUUUAUUUCUUUCGAAAAAAUUGAGAAUGGAAAGAAGUUGUUCAUGAAAAAUUCAGUAACUUCUAAAAUCAAGGGCCACGAAAAGAUAGUUCUGAAGAUGACUUUUGUCUAGUGUUUGGGUCACUUCUAAAUAAUCAUGAUUUUCGUAUUGUAUUUGAGUCAGACAAAGUUAUUUUUUUCAAAAAGUGAAAUGUUUGUCGAAAAAUAUUAUAUUUUUGAUGGUAUGUUUAAGUUAAAUGUAAUGGUUAUUAAACCAAAAAUGAAUAAAAUAAACUUUUCUGCUUACUUACUUGAGUCUUCCAAUUUGUAGCAUGAUAGAUUAGGACAUGUUUAUUAUGAUAUUUUACAUAGACUAAUUAACUUGAAUUGCAUACCCGUGUUCCAUAUUGAUUCCAAAAAUAAGUACGAAACUUCUGUUGGCACAAAAUUGACA